rnacentral:rRNA from 1 species
GAACGCUGGCGGCAGGCCUAACACAUGCAAGUCGAACGGUAACAGGAAGCAGCUUGCUGCUUCGCUGACGAGUGGCGGACGGGUGAGUAAUGUCUGGGAAACUGCCUGAUGGAGGGGGAUAACUACUGGAAACGGUAGCUAAUACCGCAUAACGUCGCAAGACCAAAGAGGGGGACCUUCGGGCCUCUUGCCAUCAGAUGUGCCCAGAUGGGAUUAGCUAGUUGGUGGGGUAACGGCUCACCAAGGCGACGAUCCCUAGCUGGUCUGAGAGGAUGACCAGCCACACUGGAACUGAGACACGGUCCAGACUCCUACGGGAGGCAGCAGUGGGGAAUAUUGCACAAUGGGCGCAAGCCUGAUGCAGCCAUGCCGCGUGUAUGAAGAAGGCCUUCGGGUUGUAAAGUACUUUCAGCGGGGAGGAAGGUGUUGUGGUUAAUAACCGCAGCAAUUGACGUUACCCGCAGAAGAAGCACCGGCUAACUCCGUGCCAGCCGCAGC